rnacentral:rRNA from 1 species
UACGAAGGGGGCUAGCGUUGUUCGGAAUUACUGGGCGUAAAGCGCGUGUAGGCGGGUCUUUUAAGUCAGGGGUGAAAUGCCAGGGCUCAACCUUGGAACUGCCUUUGAUACUGGAGACCUUGAGUCCGGGAGAGGUGAGUGGAAUUGCGAGUGUAGAGGUGAAAUUCGUAGAUAUUCGCAAGAACACCAGUGGCGAAAGGCGGCUCACUGGCCCGGAACUGACGCUGAGACGCGAAAGCGUGGGGGAGCAAACA